rnacentral:rRNA from 1 species
UACGUAGGGGGCGAGCGUUGUCCGGAAUGAUUGGGCGUAAAGGGCGUGUAAGCGGUUUUUUAGGUCUGGAGUGAAAGUCCCGUUUUCAAGAUGGGAAUUGCUUUGGAAACUGGAGAACUUGAGUGCAGGAGAGGUUAUCGGAAUUCCCGGUGUAGCGGUGAAAUGCGUAGAGAUCGGGAGGAACACCAGUGGCGAAGGCGGGUAACUGGACUGCAACUGACGCUGAGGCGCGAAAGUGUGGGGAGCAAAC